AACGAACGCUGGCGGCAUGCCUAACACAUGCAAGUCGAACGAGACCUUCGGGUCUAGUGGCGCACGGGUGCGUAACGCGUGGGAAUCUGCCCUUGGGUUCGGAAUAACAGUUAGAAAUGACUGCUAAUACCGGAUGAUGACUUCGGUCCAAAGAUUUAUCGCCCAGGGAUGAGCCCGCGUCGGAUUAGCUAGUUGGUGAGGUAAAAGCUCACCAAGGCGACGAUCCGUAGCUGGUCUGAGAGGAUGAUCAGCCACACUGGGACUGAGACACGGCCCAGACUCCUACGGGAGGCAGCAGUGGGGAAUAUUGGACAAUGGGCGAAAGCCUGAUCCAGCAAUGCCGCGUGAGUGAUGAAGGCCUUAGGGUUGUAAAGCUCUUUUACCCGGGAUGAUAAUGACAGUACCGGGAGAAUAAGCCCCGGCUAACUCCAUGCCAGCAGCCGCCGUAAAAC
rnacentral:rRNA from 1 species